rnacentral:rRNA from 1 species
UGAGAGCGGGAGCCGGGAAUGGAAAGCCCGGUACAAGCGAGGUACCAGUAUGGUAGGAAAAACCGCCAUGCAAUGGGAAGACGUGAUGUGGAGUGAAAUAUAGUAACGAAGCCCGUGAGCCAUGCGUCAAGAAAAGCCGCUAUUGUUUAUAUUGUACCCGUACCGUAAACCGACACAGGUGGAUGAGGAGAGAAUCCUAAGGCCGGCGGAAGAAGUAUUGCCAAGGAACUCGGCAAAAUGGCCCCGUAACUUAGGGAGAAGGGGUGCCUGCGAGAGCAGGCCGCAGAGAAUAGGCUCAAGCAACUGUUUAGCAAAAACACAGGUCUAUGCGAAACCGAAAGGUGAGGUAUAUGGGCUGACGCCUGCCCGGUGCUGGAAGGUUAAGAGGAGAGGUUAGACGCAAGUCGAAGCUUUGAAUUUAAGCCCCAGUAAACGGCGGCCGUAACUAUAACGGUCCUAAGGUAGCGAAAUUCCUUGUCGGGUAAGUUCCGACCCGCACGAAAGGCGUAAUGAUUUGAGCGCUGUCUCGGCAAUACAUCCGGUGAAAUUGAAGUGCCAGUGAAGAUGCUGGCUACCCGCGCCAGGACGGAAAGACCCCAUGGAGCUUUACUCCAGUUUGGCACUGGGGUCCGGUGUUGCAUGUACAGGAUAGGUGGGAGGCUGAGAGAUAGUGACGUCAGUUGCUAUGGAGCCGCUGUUGGGAUACCACCCUUGUGAUAUUGGGCUUCUAACCAGCCGCCGUAAUCCGGCGGUGGGACAAUGCCAGGCGGGGAGUUUGACUGGGGCGGCCGCCUCCGAAAGGGUAUCGGAGGCGCCCAAAGGUUCCCUCAGAAUGGACGGAAACCAUUCGAAGAGUGCAAAGGCAGAAGGGAGCUUGACUGCGACACCGACGGGUGGAGCAGGUACGAAAGUAGGGCUUAGUGAUCCGGUGGUAUUAAGUGGGAAUGCCAUCGCUCAACGGAUAAAAGCUACCCUGGGAUAACAGGCUUAUCACUCCCAAGAGUUCACAUCGACGGAGUGGUUUGGCACCUCGAUGUCGGCUCAUCGCAUCCUGGGGCUGUAGUAGGUCCCAAGGGCUGGGCUGUUCGCCCAUUAAAGCGGUACGCGAGCUGGGUUUAGAACGUCGUGAGACAGUUCGGUCCCUAUCCGGCGUGGGCGUAGGAUAUCUGAGAGGAGCUGUCCUUAGUACGAGAGGACCGGGAUGGACGGACCGCUGGUGGACCGGUUGGCUUGCCAAAGCCAUGGCCGGGUAGCCAAGUCCGGAAGGGAUAAACGCUGAAGGCAUCUAAGCGUGAAGCCCCCCUCAUGAUGAGAUAUCCAUUCUUUAAGAAGUAAACCCCCUUGAAGACGACGAGGUAGAUAGGGCAGAGGUGGAAGUGUGGUAACACAUGGAGCUGACUGUUACUAAUCGGGUGAGGGCUUGACCG